UCCUACGGGGCGCAGCAGUGGGGAAUUUUGGACAAUGGGCGCAAGCCUGAUCCAGCUAUUCCGCGUGUGGGAUGAAGGCCCUCGGGUUGUAAACCACUUUUGUAGAGAACGAAAAGACACCUUUUAAUAAAGGGUGUUGCUGACGGUACCUGACCAAGAAGCCCCGGCUAACUACGUGCCAGCAGCCGCGGUAAUACGUAGGGGGCAAGCGUUAUCCGGAAUUACUGGGUGUAAAGGGAGCGUAGACGGUUAAGUAAGUCUGGAGUGAAAGGCCGGGGCCCAACCCCGGGACUGCUCUGGUAACU
rnacentral:rRNA from 1 species